rnacentral:lncRNA from 1 species
UUCUCAAUUUGUAAGAUAGAUGUUCUGUUUGUUUAUUUGUUCGCAUGAGUUUCGCUCGGCUGGGUACAGAAUCCAGAACUUCUCAUAUACAAGCUCCUGGUACCACUGGUGCUCAACAAACAUCACAUCCAGAGACUCUGUGAAUGGGCAAAGGAACAGCUGGAAUUCACUAUGCUUCUUUCCCAUGUUUCCUUCUUCCAUCCAAAGAGGAACAUCUGUACAGAAGAACUAGUUUACAGCCUCCAUGUAGUACACCUUUCAAACUAUUAACAGCAUUUCAGCAGAGAACACUCUAUCCCUGAGCAGUGCAGUAAGGGGCUAAUGAUAUAUCAAUAAAACUCUGGCGCAGCCUUCUGCUUAUUGAGGCAAGUGCUGGAGUUCCUCAAAGACUGCCAGACUCAGCUGCAUCAUAUGCUGAGUUUCUUCUUUUGGAAAAUGUUUCCAUUUUCUCUCAGGUACUAUGUACCUGUACUGAGUCUGUCUGUUCCUGAUCUCCCUUUUUAUUCUAGCACUUACAUUUUCAUAACGACUCACAUUCUUUUCUAUUCUGUUCCACUUUUGUUUUUUUUGUUUUUUUUUUUGUUUUGGUUUGGUUUUGGUUUUUUUUUUUUUUUUUUUUUGCUUUUGUUUUUGUUUUUGUCUUUUGGUGGACACAGGAAAUCAAAGCCAGGACCUCACAUAGGCUAGGCAACUCACAGAGCAACACUCCCAAACUCUUCCCUGAUUCUGUCUUAGCCUGUUACCCAGAGGACAUAAAUUAACACAUUCAUUAUCCCAUUAUACAAUUUCAAGAUUUACCAAAAUUUGGCUAUCACAUAUUGCCAAAUAAACCAUAAGAACGACUACCUAA